GACGAACGCUGGCGGCGUGCUUAACACAUGCCAGUCGAACGGAAAGGCCCUGCUUUUGUGGGGUGCUCGAGUGGCGAACGGGUGAGUAACACGUGAGUAGCCUGCCCUUGACUUUGGGAUAACUUCAGGAAACUGGGGCUAAUAUCGGAUAGGAGCUCCUGCUGCAUGGUGGGGGUUGGAAAGUUUCGGCGGUUGGGGAUGGACUCGCGGCUUAUCAGCUUGUUUGUGGGGUAGUGGCUUACCAAGGCUUUGACGGGUAGCCGGCCUGAGAGGGUGACCGGGCACAUGGGGACUGAGAUACGGACCAGAAUCCUACGGGAGGCAGCAGUGGGGAAUAUUGCACAAUGGGCGGAAGCCUGAUGCAGCAACGCCGGGUGCGGGAUGACGGCCUUCGGGUUGUAAACAGCUUUCGCCUGUGACGAAGCGUGAGUGACGGUAAUGGGUAAAGAAGCACCGGCUAACUACGUG
rnacentral:rRNA from 1 species